AAACACCUACGGGGGGCAGCAGUGGGGAAUAUUGCACAAUGGGGGAAACCCUGAUGCAGCGACGCCGCGUGAGUGAAGAAGUAUUUCGGUACGUAAAGCUCUAUCAGCAGGGAAGAAAAUGACGGUACCUGACUAAGAAGCCCCGGCUGUCUACGUGCCAGCAGCCGCGGUAAUACGUAGGGGGCAAGCGUUAUCCGGAUUUACUGGGUGUAAAGGGAGCGUAGACGGAAGCGCAAGUCUGGAGUGAAAUGCCGGGGCCCAACCCCGGAACUGCUUUGGAAAAUGUGCAGCU
rnacentral:rRNA from 1 species